rnacentral:rRNA from 1 species
AAGCUCGUAGUUGAAUUUCGAGAUCAGUACGCUGGUCGUGCCUUUGGUAUGCACUGGUGUCACUGGUUUCUCCCUUCUGAAGAACUGUCAUGCCAUUCAGUUGGUGUGGCGGGGAAUCAGGACUGUUACUUUGAAAAAAUUAGAGUGUUUAAAGCAGGCUUGCGCUUGAAUACAUUAGCAUGGAAUAAUGAAAUAGGACGUUUGACCCUAUUUUGUUGGUUUCUAGGAUCGACGUAAUGAUUAAUAGGGAUAGUUGGGGGCAUUAGUAUUCAAUUGUCAGAGGUGAAAUUCUUGGAUUUAUUGAAGACUAACUACUGCGAAAGCAUUUGCCAAGGAUGUUUUCAUUAAUCAAGAACGAAAGUUAGGGGAUCGAAGACGAUCAGAUACCGUCGUAGUCUUAACCAUAAACUAUGCCGACUAGGGAUCGGAUGAUGUUAAUUUUUUAAUGACUCAUUCGGCGCCUUACGGGAAACCAAAGUGUUUGGGUUCCGGGGGGAGUAUGGUCGCAAGGCUGAAACUUAAAGGAAUUGACGGAAGGGCACCACCAGGGGUGGAGCCUGCGGCUUAAUUUGACUCAACACGGGGAAA